AUUGAACGCUGGCGGCAUGCCUUACACAUGCAAGUCGAACGGCAGCACGGGAGCAAUCCUGGUGGCGAGUGGCGAACGGGUGAGUAAUAUAUCGGAACGUGCCCAGUCGUGGGGAUAACGUAGCGAAAGCUACGCUAAUACCGCAUACGAUCUAUGGAUGAAAGCGGGGGAUCGCAAGACCUCGCGCGAUUGGAGCGGCCGAUAUCAGAUUAGGUAGUUGGUGAGGUAAAGGCUCACCAAGCCGACGAUCUGUAGCUGGUCUGAGAGGACGACCAGCCACACUGGGACUGAGACACGGCCCAGACUCCUACGGGAGGCAGCAGUGGGGGAAUUUUUGGGACAAUGGGCGCAAGCCUGAUCCAGCAAUGCCGCGUGCAGGAUGAAGGCCU
rnacentral:rRNA from 1 species